rnacentral:lncRNA from 1 species
CGGAAAGAACCUCCACAAAGACAGAAACAUAGGGCAGAAAAUUAGGUGACACUUCAAAAACAACAACAGAAAGAACGGAAAGAACCUCCACAGAGACAGAAACAUAGGGCAGAAAAUUAGGUGACAGUUCAAAAACAACCACAGAAAGAACGGAAAGAAUGGAACGAACCUCCACAGAGACAGAAACAUAGGGCAGAAAAUUAGGUGACAGUUCAAAAACAACAACAGAAAGAACGGAAAGAACGGAAAGUACCUCCACAGAGACAGAAACAUAGAGCAGAAAAUUAG